rnacentral:rRNA from 1 species
GACGAACCGUGCGAACGUUGUUCGGAAUCACUGGGCUUAAAGGGCGCGUAGGCGGGCUGCUAAGUCAGGGGUGAAAGCCCACGGCUCAACCGUGGAAGUGCCUUUGAUACUGGCGGUCUGGAGGGAGGUAGGGGCGUGCGGAACUUCCGGUGGAGCGGUGAAAUGCGUAGAUAUCGGAAGGAACACCGGUGGCGAAGGCGGCUUCCUGGACCGACACUGACGCUGAGGCGCGAAAGCUAGGGGAGCAAACAGG